rnacentral:rRNA from 1 species
AGUAACACGUAGGAACGUACCCCGAACUGAGGGAUAAGCACUGGAAACAGUGUCUAAUACCGCAUGUGGUCCUUAUGAUUUUCAUAGGGAUUAAAGCUUCGGCGGUUUGGGAACGGCCUGCGCAUGAUUAGCUUGUUGGUGAGGUAAUAGCUCACCAAGGCGACGAUCAUUAGCUGGUCUGAGAGGAUGACCAGCCAGACUGGAACUGAGAACGGUCCAG